rnacentral:rRNA from 1 species
UACGAAGGGGGCUAGCGUUGCUCGGAAUCACUGGGCGUAAAGCGCACGUAGGCGGAUCGUUAAGUCGGGGGUGAAAUCCUGGAGCUCAACUCCAGAACCGCCUCCGAUACUGGCAAUCUCGAGUCCGGGAGAGGUGAGUGGAACUCCGAGUGUAGAGGUGAAAUUCGUAGAUAUUCGGAAGAACACCAGUGGCGAAGGCGACUUACUGGACACAUAUUGACGCUGAGGUGCGAAAGCGUGGGGAGCAAACAGG